GCUUAAAUGGCAAAGAGGCUGUCUGCACUGUUUUAAAAAUCUGCUGGAUUAUUGGGAAUGCUUGGCUUUACUUUAGCUUUGUAAUGAGCAUUAUAUGAAUGCUAUUUAUGCUGCUUAUCCUAUUGGUCCGUACUGCUGUCAAAACCGUGAGGCCUGAAUAAUUUCUGGUGGCCUUCUCCCAUUCCUGAGGUUGUCCUGAGGGGAUGCUGCAGGCUGGUAGCGCUGGGGCUGAGCACGUUUCUGGUCGUCAUAUCCACGUGCUACGGGCAGCCUGAAAAGGACAGCCCAGAGAAAGGAUUUGUUCUGAUGGAUGUCUGA
rnacentral:lncRNA from 1 species